rnacentral:rRNA from 1 species
CCUAGCCCGUGGAUGACAUUCAAGAGACGCCAGUGUCAGCUUGCUGUCCUGUGCCGCGAUCGGACGUCGACACAUUCCACCGAGGAAGACGCGUAUGGGAGUGGUUCUGAUAUGUACCGGGUCGAUGUAAGUAUUCAUGAAAGGUUGAUGGAAAGACAGUCCUGAUCAUAGAUGGUGUUAAUCCAGUGACGUCGACUUUCUACGGUACAAAUCAUCGAGUCGCUCUCCAGAGUAGGGUUGUUCGGUAUCACAGCCCGAAGAGGUGGUAAACUCCAUCUAAAGCUAAAUAUGUCCCCGAGUCCGAUAGCAAACAAGUACCGUGAGGGAAAGUUGAAACAGAACUUUUGAAAGAGAGUUAAAUAGUACGUGAAACCGUCACGGGCUUAUAAAGCGAAUGGACGUUCAUGAUCGAAAAGAGCUUUGGCCCUCGUCUUUUCACGGUCGAUCUCCGAAUGGGGGGGUGACUGCCCGUGGUUCUCGGACUGCGGGUUGUUGUGCCUC